rnacentral:rRNA from 1 species
CAGGAUGAACGCUAGCUACAGGCUUAACACAUGCAAGUCGAGGGGCAGCAUGAACUUAGCUUGCUAAGUUUGAUGGCGACCGGCGCACGGGUGAGUAACACGUAUCCAACCUGCCGAUGACUCGGGGAUAGCCUUUCGAAAGAAAGAUUAAUACCCGAUGGCAUAGUUCUUCCGCAUGGUAGGACUAUUAAAGAAUUUCGGUCAUCGAUGGGGAUGCGUUCCAUUAGCUUGUUGGCGGGGUAACGGCCCACCAAGGCAUCGAUGGAUAGGGGUUCUGAGAGGAAGGUCCCCCACAUUGGAACUGAGACACGGUCCAAACUCCUACGGGAGGCAGCAGUGAGGAAUAUUGGUCAAUGGGCGCUAGCCUGAACCAGCCAAGUAGCGUGAAGGAUGACUGCCCUAUGGGUUGUAAACUUCUUUUAUAUGGGAAUAAAGUGCAGUAUGUAUACUGCUUUGCAUGUACCUUAUGAAUAAGGAUCGGCUAACUCCGUGCCAGCAGCCGCGGUAAUACGGAGGAUCCGAGCGUUAUCCGGAUUUAUUGGGUUUAAAGGGAGCGUAGGCGGGUUGUUAAGUCAGUUGUGAAAGUUUGCGGCUCAACCGUAAAAUUGCAGUUGAUACUGGCAUCCUUGAGUACAGUAGAGGUAGGCGGAAUUCGUGGUGUAGCGGUGAAAUGCUUAGAUAUCACGAAGAACUCCGAUUGCGAAGGCAGCCUGCUGGACUGUAACUGACGCUGAUGCUCGAAAGUGUGGGUAUCAAACAGGAUUAGAUACCCUGGUAGUCCACACAGUAAA